UUCAAAGUUCAUUUUGUCGGUGCCAUUUUAAAAGGUUUUUAUAUUUAUUUUAUCUUGAAAAGUAUUCAAUUAAGAAGUUACAAAGUUGGCAUUCACUCUUUACGAUAAGGGAGAGGAGAGAGAUACAAAAGGGAUAUUCAAAAUCGAAGACAAACUGAAAAUGCUAUGGCAAAAAAAAAACGAAAAAAAGAAAAGAAAAACAACAAUACAUAAAACACAACAUAGAAAACUAAAGAUUGAGCAACAAACCCCACCAAAUGUGCCACCUGUUGUGUUGCUCAAACAUUUUAUUUGAAUUAUCAAAAGUAUUAGUUAUUGUAUUAAUUACUCAAGUCGUUCUGGAUCUUAAAAAACGACUGUGAAAUAAAACACUUAAGCGUCAACAAAAAAAAAAUGCUCAAAACAAUAUACAUACAUUGACAUAGAAUAUUAGAUUAGUUGCACUAUCUUUUGUCUAUCCCGGAUAAAUUCACGUGGGUCUCAAUAUUUUUACUUUAACUGAAGCUCGAAAAAAAAACAAUGUACAUUGUAUAUUUUCAAAACAAAUGGAUUUAGUUAUAUUUAGCACAAAAGGUAAUAUAAGAUACGUUUUCUAAAUGAGUUUAUCACGUUUAAAAUCAUAAUUCAUGAAUCACAGCCAGUUUUGCUUAAAGUUGACGUCACCAUUGCCUAGAAACCAGAAUCAAAUAUGUCCAAGCCAAAGAAGAUCAAGAAAGAUCCUGAUUACAUAUCAACGGAAGAAUUCAUGAAAAUCAUUUCUCCUUUUGUAUGCCAUGAUUUAACACUUAAAGUAGGCAAAAUACAGUUUCAUGUCAACAAAAAGCAACUCAUGGAUACAUCACCAGUUUUCAACCAAAUGUUGAGCGCUGAUUUCAAAGAGAAAAAUGCGAAAGAAAUAAUUCUCAAGGGAAAGGAUCCGGGUGCAUUUAGUCUGUUUUUAAGAUACACCUUACCUGGCUUUGAAGAGAAUGAAUUAAAAGAAACGGACGCUCAUCUUAUUUUACCAAUAGCACAUGAAUAUCAAACCGAAAAAUCUUUAACAAGAAUUGAUGCAUCAUUGACAGAAUAUUCCACAGAAAUGGCAGAUACCUUGACUUCAGAACAAGUAAUAGAUAGUAUUAUAGAGGCGGAGUUUUUUGGAUUGUCGGAAUACUUGGAGACAUGCAUUAAAAUUGCAUCUCACAAAACUUUCAAUGCACUAGCAAAAAUAAAAAUUUUAAUAAAAUAUCAAAAGAUACUAGAUACACUAUUUCUAUGGAGAGAUGGGAAGAGUUGGAUGACACUUAUAGAGAAAAUCAAUACGAAGUAGGCAGGUCAUUCAUGUUUCAAAAUUGAAUAUCCUAGCCAUUAACUGAAUGUUGAAAGAGAUAAUAGUAUUAAUAAUGAUUAUAUUACUAAUUCUUUACAAAUAUUGAUUAAUAUAUAGAUCUAGAGUGACUUUUAGAUUAUAAAGUUUUUUU